UGGGGGAUAUUGCACAAUGGGCGCAAGCCUGAUGCAGCGACGCCGCGUGGGGGAUGAAGGCCUUCGGGUUGUAAACUUCUUUUGCUCUGAACAAGGCGCACUUUGGGGUGUGUUGAGUGUAGGGUUUGAUUAGCGCCGGCUAACUACGUGCCAGCAGCCGCGGUAAUACGUAGGGCGCGAGCGUUGUCCGGAAUUAUUGGGCGUAAAGGGCUUGUAGGUGGCUGGUUGCGUCUGUCGUGAAAGCUCAUGGCUUAACUGUGGGUUUGCGGUGGGUACGGGCUGGCUUGAGUGCAGUAGGGGAGGCUGGAAUUCCUGGUGUAGCGGUGGAAUGCGCAGAUAUCAGGAGGAAUACCGGUGGCGAAGGCGGGUCUCUGGGCUGUUACUGACACUGAGGAGCGAAAGCAUGGGGAGCGAACAGG
rnacentral:rRNA from 1 species